rnacentral:rRNA from 1 species
ACGCACGCUGGCGGCGUGCUUCACACAUGCAAGUCGAAUGGAAAGGCCCUGCUUUUGUGGGGUGCUCGAGUGGCGAACGGGUGAGUAACACGUGAGUAACCUGCCCUUGACUUUGGGAUAACUUCAGGAAACUGGGGCUAAUACCGGAUAGGAGCUCCUGCUGCAUGGUGGGGGUUGGAAAGUUUCGGCGGUUGGGGAUGGACUCGCGGCUUAUCAGCUUGUUGGUGGGGUAGAGGCUUACCAAGGCUUUGACGGGUAGCCGGCCUGAGAGGGUGACCGGCCACAUUGGGACUGAGAUACGGCGCAGACUCCUACGGGAGGCAGCAGUGGGGAAUAUUGCACAAUGGGCGGAAGCCUGAUGCAGCAACGCCGCGUGCGGGAUGACGGCCUUCGGGUUGUAAACCGCUUUCGCCUGUGACGAAGCGUGAGUGACGGUAAUGGGUAAAGAAGCACCGGCUAACUACGUG